CAGGUACAACCGGCGCCCGCAAUCCAUUUAGCCCGAAACCCCUUGUACUGCUCCAGGACCUUCGUUGCGUCCGGCAUCACCUUCUUCACGGCGUCCACGGCCAAGAACCGCUCCGCCCACGCCGCCAGGCCGGGGACCUUGGCCGCGUCCAGAAGGCUGGUGCCUCCAACCUCAUCCACCACUCGGAUCCAGACCAGGUGGCUCCCGAGCGCGACGUCCACGAUCCCGACGGCGUCGCCGCCGAAGAACGCCUUCCCCGCGGAGCACUCCGCGAGCGUUCGCUCCAACGUCUCCACCGCAGGCAGGGCGUUCCGCAGCGCCUCCGCUCUCUGCUCGUCCGUCAGCGAUCUGAACAGCGCCCUGAACGCCGGGAAAAACUACAAACAGGGAGAAGAAGAAGAAGAAAAAAAAAAGAAGGAAACUGUGAUUCUGACUUCCGGGCCUGCAUCCUGCUCUGCUCCAGCAAUGGUAUCGUUACCAUACCGUGUCGUUGAUGUAGGCCGCCCAGAACCGUGCCGUGGCGCGGUCGUAGGGGUCGGCCGGGAGGAGCGGAGGACCGGCCGUCGGCCAUGCCUCGUCGAGGUACUGCAGGAUCACGAGCGACUCGCACAAUGGGCGGCCGCCGUGGAUGAGGACGGGCACCUUCUUGUGCACCGGGUUGGACCGGAGCAGGAGGCCGCUCUUGUUGCCGAGGUCCUCCUCGAGGUACUCGUAGCUCAGGCCCUUGAGCCCCAUCGCCACCCUCGCUCGGAUCACCCAUGGGCUCGACCAUGUGCCCAGCAGGAGCAGCUCGUCGCCCGCUCCUAUGGCAUUGGCACCUACUGGAGCCGCCAUUACAGUUUGCAGAUGUUUGCUUUGUUCUAUCAUGUGCCGCUGUCUGUUGGGACCUGGGAUCCAUUUGUAUGCGUGCCGCGGUCUGACCGUCUGAGGUGAUGAGCAUGACCAACCGGUGCCUUGUUUGACUAGCAGCAGUGAAUCCAGAAGUCGAGGUUCACGUGUCCAACUUUGGACAAUUUGUGGGUGGCCGUUUCUCCUCGUCACUCCGCUGCCAUUGCGCUAGCGCUGUCGUGUGUUCAGGAAAGGUCCAAAUGAGGUGCCACGCGCCCGUUGUAUCCGUGGAGGAUUUGGAGCGAAUGAUGGGA
rnacentral:misc_RNA from 1 species